rnacentral:rRNA from 1 species
GCUUACGGCCAUACCACCCUGAGCACGCCCGAUCUUGUCUGAUCUCGGAGGCAAAGCAGGGUCGGACCUGGUUAGUACUUGGAUGGGGGAACACCAGGUGCUGUAAGCU